rnacentral:rRNA from 1 species
UCCGUAGGUGGAUAAUUAAGUCAGGGGUGAAAUCCUGCAGCUCAACUGUAGAAUUGCCUUUGAUACUGGUUAUCUUGAGUCAUUAUGAAGUGGUUAGAAUGUGUAGUGUAGCGGUGAAAUGCAUAGAUAUUACACAGAAUACCGAUUGCGAAGGCAGAUCACUAAUAAUGUACUGACACUGAGGGACGAAAGCGUGGGGAGCGAACAGGAUUAGAUACCCUGGUAGUCC